CAAUAGUGUAUAUUAAAGUUGUUGCAGUUAAAAAGCUCGUAGUUGGAUUUCUGGGAGGGUGCCAAUGUCCGCUGAGGCGUGUGCAGCGGCGCCCUUCCAUCCUUCUGUUAACGUUUCAUGGUAUUCAGUUACUGGUUUCGGGCUCAGAUAUUUUACCUUGAGAAAAUUAGAGUGUUUCAGGCAGGCUUGCGCCGGAAUACAUUAGCAUGGAAUAAUAGAAUAGGACUUUAGUCUCUUUUGUUGGUUUGAGGGGCUGAAGUAAUGAUUAAUAGGGAUAGUUGGGGGCAUUAGUAUUUAAUUGUCAGAGGUGAAAUUCUCGGAUUUGUUAAAGACUAACUUAUGCGAAAGCAUUUGCCAAGGAUGUUUNCAUUAA
rnacentral:rRNA from 1 species